rnacentral:rRNA from 1 species
ACGGGAGGCAGCAGUGAGGAAUAUUGGUCAAUGGCCGGAAGGCUGAACCAGCCAUGCCGCGUGAAGGUUACGGUCCUAUGGAUUUUAAACUUCUUUUGAUGCAGAGCAAUAAGGCGCACGUGUGCGUUGAUGAGAGUAUGCAUCGAAUAAGCAUCGGCUAACUCCGUGCCAGCAGCCGCGGUAAUACGGAGGAUGCAAGCGUUAUCCGGAUUUAUUGGGUUUAAAGGGUGCGUAGGCUGCGAGGUAAGUCAGCGGUGAAAUGUAUAUGCUUAACAUAUAAAUUGCCAUUGAUACUGCUUUGCUAGGAUACAGAUGACGUGGGAGGAAUGUGUGGUGUAGCGGUGAAAUGCAUAGAUAUCACACAGAACACCGAUUGCGAAGGCAUCUCACGAAUCUGGCAUUGACGCUGAGGCACGAAAGUGUGGGGAUCAAACAGGAUUAGAUACCCUGGUA